rnacentral:rRNA from 1 species
CCUACGGGGGGCAGCAGUGAGGAAUAUUGGUCAAUGGGCGCGAGCCUGAACCAGCCAAGUAGCGUGAAGGAUGACGGCCCUACGGGUUGUAAACUUCUUUUAUAAAGGAAUAAAGUGAGGCACGUGUGGCUUUUUGCAGGUACUUCAUGAAUAAGGACCGGCUAAUUCCGUGCCAGCAGCCGCGGUAAUACGGAGGAUCCGAGCGUUAUCCGGAUUUAUUGGGUUUAAAGGGAGCGUAGAUGGGUUGUUAAGUCAGUUGUGAAAGUUUGCGGCUCAACCGUAAAAUUGCAAUUGAUACUGGCAGCCUUGAGUACAGUUGAGGUAGGCGGAAUUCGUGGUGUAGCGGUGAAAUGCUUAGAUAUCACGAAGAACUCCGAUUGCGAAGGCAGCUUACUAAACUGCCACUGACAUUGAUGCUCGAAAGUGUGGGUAUCAAACAGGAUUAGAUACCCUAGUAGUC